UACGUAGGGUGCAAGCGUUAAUCGGAAUUACUGGGCGUAAAGCGUGCGCAGGCGGUUUUUGUAAGUCUGUCGUGAAAUCCCCCGGGCUCAACCUGGGAAUUGCGAUGGAGACUGCAAGGCUAGAAUCUGGCAGAGGGGGGGUAGAAUUCCACGUGUAGCAGUGAAAUGCGUAGAGAUGUGGAGGAACACCGAUGGCGAAGGCAGCCCCCUGGGUCAAGAUUGACGCUCAUGCACGAAAGCGUGGGGAGCAAACAGG
rnacentral:rRNA from 1 species